GAAACUACAUUCAGAUCUAUGACUGAUUCCAUCAGUACGGAAAACAUUAAAACGAGUCAGUCUUGAAGAAGCCGCUGAGUUGAAAAGUUGUCACACAAAUUAUUUCCAAUCUAUUUGAAAAUGAAAAAAAAACUAAAAAAUGGUUACAGUGGAUAAGUAAACUUAUAAAGUUGCAAAAAUCAUCAAGUGAUCGACAAAGAAAUUUGAUAAAGUGUUGGAAAUCGUUAGAUUGGUUCAAUCGAUCAUCCUGAUUGCAAGUCAUUGUUGAUUGGAAACGUCCGUGAGCAGAAGCUGGAAAAUUAUCACCAUAUCUGUUUUAUCGAACUACUUUUCUUCAAAAAUUCCAUCUAGGAGAGACCUAAAUAGUAUCAAGGUAAGAAAAUUGAUUUUUUUUGUAAUGCAAUAAGAAUUACAUAAUUUGUGAAAGUUAGCAUUGAUCUUUACAAAGAAAUAUUGGACCUCGCAUAAUUUUUUUAUUAUAAAAAUGUUAAUUAUAUCAACUUAUUUAUGUUGAAUAUGUAUUUUCAAUUAUCGCUUUGGAAAAUAUCAUACUGGAAAAGUUUUUAAUUUCAUUUUUAUUUUUAUUCUUUCUUUUAUCAAUCGUGGUAACCGUUGAACCGUUCACUGGGAAAAGGACAAUCAUUGUCUUUUCCAUGGAAUUGGAAAAGUGAUUCGCAGAUAGCAGCAGAACUCAGAGCAAACAGUAAAGGACGUAAAUCUGCAAAACACAACUUAGAAAAGUGAGCGCUGUAAUAAAAGUAGACGAGGAGCACUACCACUGAUCAAAUUUCAUUAUGUAAUCGUUUAUCUUUACGGGGCAAAAGACAAUCAGUCUUUUGAAGUAUCUUAUUUCUUCUGAAACUGGUAAACACUAUUGGGAGAAAGCAGAAGAGCAUACAUCCAAAAGCUGAGAAGAAGACUUCACGAAACUACUAGAAAGUCGUGCAACACCCCAUAGAAAUUAAUGUAAUACAAUUUUAUUGUGAAU